AGUGAACGCUGGCGGUAGGCCUAACACAUGCAAGUCGAACGGCAGCACAGUAAGAGCUUGCUCUUACGGGUGGCGAGUGGCGGACGGGUGAGGAAUACAUCGGAAUCUACUUUUUCGUGGGGGAUAACGUAGGGAAACUUACGCUAAUACCGCAUACGACCUACGGGUGAAAGCAGGGGAUCUUCGGACCUUGCGCGAUUGAAUGAGCCGAUGUCGGAUUAGCUAGUUGGCGGGGUAAAGGCCCACCAAGGCGACGAUCCGUAGCUGGUCUGAGAGGCUGGUCAGCCACACUAGAACUGGGACACGGUCCAGACUCCUGCGGGAGGCAGCAGUGGGGAAUAUUGGACAAUGGGCGCAAGCCUGAUCCAGCCAUACCGAGUGGGUGAAGAAGGCCUUCGGGUUGUAAAGCCCUUUUGUUGGGAAAGAAAAGCAGCAGGUUAAUACCCCGCUGUUCUGACGGUACCCAGAGAAUAAGCACCGGCUAACUUCGUG
rnacentral:rRNA from 1 species